rnacentral:rRNA from 1 species
AGAGUUUGAUCCUGGCUCAGAACGAACGCUGGCGGCGUGCCUAACACAUGCAAGUCGAACGUGAAAGUCCUUCGGGAUGAGUAAAGUGGCGCACGGGUGAGUAACACGUAGGUGACCUGCCUUUUAGAGGGGAAUAACCAGAAGAAAUUUUGGCUAAUGCCGCAUACGAAGCACGGUUUUAAGACUGUGCUUGAAAGAAUGCCUCUGUAUAUGCAUUCGCUAUUAGAUGGGCCUGCGGGACAUUAGCUAGUUGGUGGGGUAAAGGCCUACCAAGGCGACGAUGUCUAUCCGGUCUGAGAGGAUGAUCGGACACACUGGAACUGAGACACGGUCCAGACUCCUACGGGAGGCAGCAGUGGGGAAUAUUGCGCAAUGGGGGAAACCCUGACGCAGCAACGCCGCGUGAGUGAGGAAGGACUUCGGUCUGUAAAGCUCUGUUAAUGUGGAAAAAUGGCAGUUGGUCUAAUAGGCCGAUUGUUUGAUGGUACACAUAGAGGAAGCACCGGCUAACUUCGUGCCAGCAGCCGCGGUAAUACGAAGGGUGCAAGCGUUGUUCGGAUUUAUUGGGCGUAAAGCGCGCGUAGGCGGACCUGCAAGUCAGAUGUGAAAUCUCGGGGCUCAACCUCGAAACUGCGUCUGAAACUACAGGUCUAGAAUCUCGGAGGGGGAAGGGGAAUAUCGCAUGUAGGGGUAAAAUCCGUAGAUAUGCGAUGGAACACCAGAGGCGAAGGCGCCUUCCUGGACGAGUAUUGACGCUGAGGCGCGAAAGCGUGGGGAUCAAACAGGAUUAGAUACCCUGGUAGUCCACGCUGUAAACGAUGAACACUAGAUAUUGGAGGAUUUGACCCCUUCAGUGUCGUAGCUAACGCGUUAAGUGUUCCGCCUGGGAAGUACGGUCGCAAGACUAAAACUCAAAGGAAUUGACGGGGGCCCGCACAAGCGGUGGAUUAUGUGGUUUAAUUCGAAGCAACGCGCAGAACCUUACCUAGGCUUGAAAUCCUACGAAUCCCUUUUAAACGAGGGAGUGCUCUUCGGAGAAUGUAGUGACAGGCGCUGCAUGGCUGUCGUCAGCUCGUGUCGUGAGAUGUUGGGUUAAGUCUCGCAACGAGCGCAACCCCCAUUUUUAGUUGCCAGCAUUAAGUUGGGCACUCUAGAAAGACUGCCUGGGCUAACCAGGAGGAAGGUGGGGAUGACGUCAAGUCCUCAUGGCCCUUAUGU